GAAGCCGUGGAAGAGGAAGAGGAGAACGUCGCCUGCGAGCCGCUGGCGCCAACGCGACAAAAACCUUUCAUAAUCAACCGUGUCUCCCCUCGUUUCGGCCGCCCCCUUUUUCUCAACCUCGAUAACUCCAAAAUCCUCCUUCUACUUCUCUCCCUCGAAGGACUGAAGAAAUCAGAAUAACAGAAACCGUGGACUCCAGUUUUCUUCAAUGAACCUUCCAAGAAGCAACGACCCUCGUCCUUUGUCAGAACCUCUAGUAAAGGACCUCCUGAAACCUAAAACAGAAAGAAGUAUGCCUGAAUGAAUGACUUUUGACCGUGUAGAAAACCUGAAGAACAUGGUGCCACGGUAAUCCUCGACUCAUUAAACGCGAUGAAUAUAUUAUACACAAGUGACAAGGAUGGAUUGCCAAAGAAAAUAAGGAAGCGGUACAGCACUUGGUCCAAAGGCUCAUAUGGAAAGGAUUACAAGAAAACACGGUUAGAGGGUUAAGAACGAGGAAGAAAUUCUCUUCAUUAACACAUACUUCAUCAGCAGCUGUUAAUGAAUCACGUGUUCAUAUAUCAGCCUGAACGACUGUUGCCUCGUGUUUUUCCAAGGCUACUGAUUUAUACGAGGAAACUCAUCGUCGCUAGACAUUUUCGAUGUUCAAAUAACAAGGGACUCCGAAGAAGCAACCCUUUCUUCGCGAAGAGAAGAAAAUUGUCUCCCCCCUUUUUUUUUCUUUAAAGAAGAAACUCCAGUACUUCAGGUCAUUUUUAUUAUUUAAUAUUCUCUUAUCUUAAUGCA